UAAUCUUAUUAUUUUGUUCAGAAUCAAUUUUUAAUUAAAUUUCACCAUAGGUUCUAAAAAUUAUGCUAAUCACAAUGGUGCAAUCAAUUUUGAUUUAUGAUGCCUUUACGGCCCUCAAUUUUUAAUUUAUAGAAACUUACAGAACAGAUUUCCUACGGUGGACAGAUAUAGCAUCAAAAACACAUCCGUAUAAUUAGCACGCAAAAUCAUAUCAAGCACAUAAUUUAGCAUAAUUAAGAUUAAUUAGCAUAACACAGAGUAGAGUUAUUACACGUUGUUUCCUGCGACGGGUCAAAACGACAUCGUUUGAUCCUUUUUUUUUUUCGUUUGCCUUUUGUUUGUAAACCCUAACCUCUCUUUGAGAAAGACAAGCAAAGAGGGCAACGCAAGCAGCCGACUGACUCAUGAGGUUCUCAGGCAGUCUCUCCCUUCGAAGACCUUCCAGUCACCUUCCAAGUUGUCUCUCUCUAGAGCAUCCAAGUGGGUUCUUCACUCCGAUCUCAAAAAUGCCCUUUCUGUCUCCCACGAAGCUUUAAACCCUUUUCGAGCUUACGUUUCUCUCCCCCGGGUCACUUUUGGCCCUAAAAGGUGGUAGUUGCCUAAUACAGAUAGCUCUGUUUUAGCAUCCACUGCUAAUGAAUUGCGCCGUGACAAAUACACCCCUGUUAAUCCUAAGAAGUUGAAGGCUGCAGCUGUAGGGCUAUCACAAAACUCCAUGAAAAAAGAAAAAGGAGGCGGGGGAAAUUUUACAUUGGAGAGGCUUGGCUCAAUGGCUAGGCUUGUCGUUAGCAUUCUCAGUGUCUUUCUGCCUUAGAAAAGCAAUACAAUGAUACCGAGUGUUCGUCUCGUACAAAAACCUUCUGUUGUCUUUGGCAGUGCCACCUUGAUGGUUGGAUUGGCAGCUUCUAAACUAGAGUUGCACAAUCUUCCUUGCAGGUAAGCAAGUAGUUGGCCUGUAAAGAGCAUUGUGAGAUUGCAAUUUGCAAUCUUUGGCAACAAAUCUAGACAUGGACGCCAUAGAAGAUUGGAUGGAAAGGGAAGAAAAAGAAUCGAUGGAGGGGGUUCGCAAUCUUGAGGCUGCAAUUUGCAAUAUUUGCAAUUAAUUGCUUGUUUUGUUUUAUUUGAUUUGUUUUGAAAUCUGGGUGGUAUGAUGUACUUAGUAUUUGGUUUGAAAUCUAGAUUUCUAAGAAGCACUACAAGUGCUUGUAAAAAUGUUUGAUUGAAUAUAGUUGCUUUAUUUUGGUUAA